CGAAGAUGGAAUUUAGAAUUAAACACACGUGGGAUGCUUUGCCCGUGAGCCAUGACCCGGUGAGGAUUGGGCUGAGGCCGGAUAAUGCAGGACUGCUGAUGGAAGUUCAUGCUCCUUUCUUCAAUGACCCUCCAGCACCACCCGGAGAGCCAGGGAAACCUUUUGGUGGACUGUGGGACUAUGAGGUUGUAGAAGCAUUCUUUCUGAGUGACAGAACUGAGCAGUAUUUAGAAGUCGAGCUUUGUCCUCAUGGGCAGUACUUACUGCUGCUGCUUUCUGGCAGAAGAAAAGCAUGGAAAGAAGAACUUCCUUUGGAGUUUGAGGUGACCAGAACGAAAACCAAAUGGGAGGGUAAAGCUCUUCUUCCUUGGAGUUAUUUUCCACCAUGCACUGACAAGUUCAAUGCGUUUGCAAUUCAUGGCUCAGGAGCAGAGAGGAAAUACGAAGCACUUUAUCCCGUGCCUCCACACCAACUGCAGGAAGGACAGGAGCCAGAUUUUCAUCGUUUGGAAUUUUUCAAAGGCUUGAACCUGAAGGAACUAACAGGAGAAGACUGGAAUCAGCCUGAAUCAGAUAUAUGGAAAUCUCUCACUGAGUGAAUGGGUUGAAGCAUAAAUUUUUGUCGUGUUGAAGUUGGCUGGAGCUGUAUGGAAACAAUUUCCUCGUUCAGAGUAGAGUUUGUAGAUGCCAGAUUAGCAAGGCUUUCCUUGCCACCGAAAUCACGGGCAUCUACCUAUGUAAAAAGGUCACUGUGCUGGAUGGAUUGCUGGCUGGCAACACUGCAGCUAUUCAUGUAGUUGGAAACCCACUUGAAGGAAUCUUUUUGUAAUUCCCUGCUGAUGUUCUCAAAAAUCUCUUGCUGAGCAAAGGUAGUGAGAAGUAGAAGAAAGCUGCCACAAUUCAGGAAAUUGAGAAGCUCAGACUUUGCUGUUGUGGGCUAAGUGUGAAGCAUAAAUGAGGGGAUGGGAAAUGUCCACGAGUCUUGCUGGUAACAGGUUCAUUGUCUUCAUUCUCUCUGUAAGGUGAAGUAAGAGUACAGCAUAAAUCAUAGAAUUGUUCAGGUUGGAAAAGACCUCUUAGGUUGAGUCCAGCUGUUAACCUAACACUGCCAUAUUCACCACUAACCCAUGUCCCCAGGUGCCACAUCCACACAUUUUUUGAACACUUCUAGGGGUGGUGGUGAUUCCACUGCUUCCCUGGACAGCAUAUUCCAGUUUCUUGAACUGGACAGGCAGGUGUGGUUCCUGUCUGAUCACCCUUUCAGUGAAGUUCACAUGAUACGUGUUGUUCAGUGGAGUGCAGGGUCAUAUAAUCAUGGGCUAGAAACUAAGUAUAAAAUGUAUAAAGCUGCAGAGUACUUGAUCACCUCUGAACUCUUUGAGUAGUUGAGGCAACAAUGCCUUUCUAUGCUCCUUUAUAUUCUUGGAUGGAUUCCCUUCAAUCCCCUUUGCAGGCUCUUUUGUCCUGAAGACAAUGGGUGAAGUGCUACCAGCCUGUAUAUCACAAAUCACUGUUCAAACUACCAUCAAUCAUUUUUCUUUAUGUUCUUAAACAGGUCUGACUAUCUUAUUUGUGUUUUUAAUAUGUUGAUAAAAUCUGUGUACAGAGGAAGAAUCUAGACUUCCUUGCAGGGAUCUCAUACAUUAAACUCUGUCAGAUUAUUGUAGUAAUACUGUGCUUUGAGUAGGAAGUGGGGACUAUAUUUUAUCUGUUCAGAUAUUAUUGAUGAGGUGGUCAUUAAUGAAGUCUUUGGCAUGAAAGAUGGUUUUAGAUUUUAAGUGCAGGCUGCUGCCUAAAAGGAAACAUCUUUAUCUUGCCAGUGCUUUUGGCUUGACCUAUCUUUGUGAGCUCACAGUGGAAUUUUUCAAGUUACAAAGUAAGCUGUUAUAGACAAGGGCAAUUUUUAAAAUAUACUGGAAUAUCCUUUAGACCUGAGUCCAUGUCCACAUCCUGCAUCCCUCAAGUGUCAGGACUUACUGAGAUUUAACAUUCAGCAUUGGAAAAGAAUGUGUGAGCUAAUGAGAAAUAGAUUUUUUUUUUUUAUUAUUUCUGCACCUGUUUAGGUAUAAUAGAGAAGUAAAUGGACUGCUUUCCAUAUCAGUUAGUCUGUGUAUUUGGUGCCUGUGUGAGGCCCUCCAGAUUAAUUAGCAGGUUUAGUAAAUGAUACAGGAAAGACUAAUCACAUUCUGCAUGUGCUAGCUUCAGAGUGCCAAGUCUUUACUUUCAUCCUCCUGAGUCUACAAUGCCUGAAGGGCUUUAAGUCCUGAUGGCCUGGCUUAUAAGAUGUGCAAUUUAUCUGUUAAAAUGAGGGCUAUUACACACAUUCUGUGUCACAUGCACUGACUGACUGAUUUUGUGUUCCCUGUAAUGUCAUAUGCUGAGUAAAUAACCUCUUUGGUUAUUAACACCUUCUCCCUCUAUGAAACAUAGAUGUGUUCUGAAAGCCCUGUGUAGUUUUCAACAAUGUCUAUUUUUUUCCUGAUUACCAAGACCACAAAAACCUCCUUAGAGAAGACCUUUGUCCAAAGAUCUAUGCAACUUUUCUCCUGUCUUUAGCUUGUAUAUCAACACUUAUAUCUCAAAAUGUUGGUUUAGCCAAUACAGCCCUUAGAAAUUGUAUUUCAGUCAGAGGAAUUCUCUGCUCCAUAUAAACUUAAUGAAACAUCUGGGGUUUGUUUUUUUUUUUUUCCCCUCCGCUUGUGGAAAGAUCAUUUAAUUAAAAAUUGAUAGUGCUACUUUGCUACUUGACAAAUGUGAUGAUUUCUUUAAACUGUUAAAUAUACUGCCAAUAAAAUUAGUCAUUUCUAA